GCAUUGGGGGGGUGCCUAUACAUGCAAGUAGAACGCUGAAGAGAGGAGCUUGCUCUUCUUGGAUGAGUUGCGAACGGGUGAGUAACGCGUAGGUAACCUGCCUUGUAGCGGGGGAUAACUAUUGGAAACGAUAGCUAAUACCGCAUAACAAUGGAUGACACAUGUCAUUUAUUUGAAAGGGGCAAUUGCUCCACUACAAGAUGGACCUGCGUUGUAUUAGCUAGUAGGUGAGGUAACGGCUCACCUAGGCGACGAUACAUAGCCGACCUGAGAGGGUGAUCGGCCACACUGGGACUGAGACACGGCCCAGACUCCUACGGGAGGCAGCAGUAGGGAAUCUUCGGCAAUGGGGGCAACCCUGACCGAGCAACGCCGCGUGAGUGAAGAAGGUUUUCGGAUCGUAAAGCUCUGUUGUAAGUCAAGAACGAGUGUGAGAGUGGAAAGUUCACACUGUGACGGUAGCUUACCAGAAAGGGACGGCUAACUACGUGCCAGCAGCCGCGGUAAUACGUAGGUCCCGAGCGUUGUCCGGAUUUAUUGGGCGUAAAGCGAGCGCAGGCGGUUUGAUAAGUCUGAAGUUAAAGGCUGUGGCUCAACCAUAGUUCGCUUUGGAAACUGUCAAACUUGAGUGCAGAAGGGGAGAGUGGAAUUCCAUGUGUAGCGGUGAAAUGCGUAGAUAUAUGGAGGAACACCGGUGGCGAAAGCGGCUCUCUGGUCUGUAACUGACGCUGAGGCUCGAAAGCGUGGGGAGCGAACAGGAUUAGAUACCCUGGUAGUCCACGCCGUAAACGAUGAGUGCUAGGUGUUGGAUCCUUUCCGGGAUUCAGUGCCGCAGCUAACGCAUUAAGCACUCCGCCUGGGGAGUACGACCGCAAGGUUGAAACUCAAAGGAAUUGACGGGGGCCCGCACAAGCGGUGGAGCAUGUGGUUUAAUUCGAAGCAACGCGAAGAACCUUACCAGGUCUUGACAUCCCGAUGCUAUUUCUAGAGAUAGAAAGUUACUUCGGUACAUCGGUGACAGGUGGUGCAUGGUUGUCGUCAGCUCGUGUCGUGAGAUGUUGGGUUAAGUCCCGCAACGAGCGCAACCCCUAUUGUUAGUUGCCAUCAUUCAGUUGGGCACUCUAGCGAGACUGCCGGUAAUAAACCGGAGGAAGGUGGGGAUGACGUCAAAUCAUCAUGCCCCUUAUGACCUGGGCUACACACGUGCUACAAUGGUUGGUACAACGAGUUGCGAGUCGGUGACGGCAAGCUAAUCUCUUAAAGCCAAUCUCAGUUCGGAUUGUAGGCUGCAACUCGCCUACAUGAAGUCGGAAUCGCUAGUAAUCGCGGAUCAGCACGCCGCGGUGAAUACGUUCCCGGGCCUUGUACACACCGCCCGUCACACCACGAGAGUUUGUAACACCCGAAGUCGGUGAGGUAACCUUUUGGAGCCAGCCGCCUAAGGGUGGAAAGAAGU
rnacentral:rRNA from 1 species